AGAGUUUGAUCCUGGCUCAGGACGAACGCUGGCGGCGUGCUUAACACAUGCAAGUCGAACGGAAAGGCCCUUCGGGGUACUCGAGUGGCGAACGGGUGAGUAACACGUGGGUGAUCUACCCUGCACUUUGGGAUAAGCCUGGGAAACUGGGUCUAAUACCGAAUAGGACCGCGCGCUUCAUGGUGUGUGGUGGAAAGCUUUUGCGGUGUGGGAUGGGCCCGCGGCCUAUCAGCUUGUUGGUGGGGUAAUGGCCUACCAAGGCGACGACGGGUAGCCGGCCUGAGAGGGUGACCGGCCACACUGGGACUGAGAUACGGCCCAGACUCCUACGGGAGGCAGCAGUGGGGAAUAUUGCACAAUGGGCGCAAGCCUGAUGCAGCGACGCCGCGUGAGGGAUGACGGCCUUCGGGUUGUAAACCUCUUUCACCAGGGACGAAGCGCAAGUGACGGUACCUGGAGAAGAAGCACCGGCCAACUACGUGCCAGCAGCCGCGGUAAUACGUAGGGUGCGAGCGUUGUCCGGAAUUACUGGGCGUAAAGAGCUCGUAGGUGGUUUGUCGCGUUGUUCGUGAAAACUCACAGCUUAACUGUGGGCGUGCGGGCGAUACGGGCAGACUAGAGUACUGCAGGGGAGACUGGAAUUCCUGGUGUAGCGGUGGAAUGCGCAGAUAUCAGGAGGAACACCGGUGGCGAAGGCGGGUCUCUGGGCAGUAACUGACGCUGAGGAGCGAAAGCGUGGGGAGCGAACAGGAUUAGAUACCCUGGUAGUCCAA
rnacentral:rRNA from 1 species